CAUCACCUGGCUACAAGGCUUCAUGGAACACUCUGGAGGGCUUUCCUCAUGUCAUUAGGUAUCUGAUGUGUGUGUGUGAGAGGAACAUUGUAAUAGCAACACUUUGGCUACCACAGCCCUUCUGUUCUCUCAUGUUAUUGUUUCAAGAGGAAUCAAGAAACUUGGUUUUGCAAAAGGUUCUAGGUUCUGCAAUCAGCUAUUAGAUAAAAGCACCAAAAAGCCCCAC